GAGGGAGGUAUUGAGGAUAGGAGAGUAUAUGGGUUUGGCACCAUGGGGUGGAUAGGCAAAACAAUUUGGUUGAUAAGGCGCAGAUUCUGAACUAACUUGUAAGCCUUGUCUGGUUUUAGGACAGGUAAAAUGGGGGAAUGGUAAGAAGAGUUUAUAGGCUUUAAGAGGCCAUGCUGUAGCAGCUACUGCCUUCCUCAUCAACAAAGUGCCCCUUCCUGUUGAUGAGUUGGCACCUUUACCUCUGGACAACAUUCUUCCCUUUAUGGAUCCAUUAAAGCUUCUUCUGAAAACUCUGGGCAUUUCUGUUGAGCACCUUGUGGAGGGGCUAAGGAAGUGUGUAAAUGAGCUGGGACCAGAGGCUUCUGAAGCUGUGAAGAAACUGCUGGAGGCGCUAUCACACUUGGUGUGAGUCAAGAUAGACAGCGGAGGUGGAUGGGGAUGGAAGAUGACGCUCCUAUCCUCCCUGGCUGAAACCUGUUCUACCAAUUAUAGAUCAAAUGCCCUAAAAUGUAGUGACCCAUGAAAAGGACAAAUAAAGCAAUGAAUAG
rnacentral:sRNA from 1 species